ACGAACGCUGGCGGCAGGCUUAACACCUGCAAGUCGAGCGCCUCGCAAGAGGAGCGGCUGACGGGUGAGUAACGCGUGGGAACGUACCCUUAUCUUCGGAAUAGCUCUUGGAAACUGGAAGUAAUACCGAAUGUGCCCUUAGGGGGAAAGAUUUAUCGGAUAAGGAUCGGCCCGCGUUGGAUUAGCUAGUUGGUGGGGUAAAGGCCUACCAAGGCGACGAUCCAUAGCUGGUCUGAGAGGAUGAUCAGCCACAUUGGGACUGAGACACGGCCCAAACUCCUACGGGAGGCAGCAGUGGGGAAUAUUGGACAAUGGGCGCAAGUCUGAUCAAGCCAUGCCGCGUGAGUGAUGAAGGCCUUAGGGUUGUAAAGCUCUUUCACCGGAGAAGAUAAUGACGGUAUCCGGAGAAGAAGCCCCGGCUAACUUCGUG
rnacentral:rRNA from 1 species